UUGUGUCAUGAUGACAUGAUUUGUUUCUGUUUUGCUUAGGUUAUCGCUAGAAUGUCACAUCACUUACACACACAUGGAACAAAAAAUGAAAUAAAAAUUCAAAAUUUUAAGAACGAGGACGAUUUUUCUCGAACUGCUGCCAACUCAUUAGUCAAGGUAAAAUAAAACCUUUUCAACCUUAAAUCAAAAUUGCAUCAUUGUUUUCUUCUUUUUCUUCUUCAAGUGGAUAAACACAACCUCAUCACACAUUCUCGGGUGGAGGAAGAGUUGUGAAAACGGACAUGAAUUUAAAGGCUUCGAUUCAGGAGGAAAUGAGCGAUGGGUUUUCGAAAUGGAAUUUGGUGGGAAGAUCAGCUCCAAGUAAGGAAAUGAUCCAUUUUCUUAUCUGCUUCCUUGAUUCAGUAAGAUUUCACCAUAUUAGAAUUUUGUUGGCAUUGAUAACUCCUUAUUUCUCCUUUUUAUUCAGUCUUUUGUUUUGACCUCGGUCAACUGCUUAAUUUCCUGCAUAUGCCAGAUUUGAAGCUUUGAAGUCUGAGUGAUACUUUGAUGGGUAAAUGUCACUUUAUGUCCCAUUGUUUUAGGGAAUUAUCAAUUAUGUCCCCAACUUUACGAUAUUAUCAAAUUGAUAUCCAACCUAUCAAUAUUUUUUUAUUUGUGUUCUGUAAAAAUUUUUCGGCAUUCGGGAAUUAACGUGGAACGCCGGAGUUUGACUUAAUGAUCUACAUGGAAUUGCCAGUUAUAUUUAUACUUUUAAAAAAAAAAAAGGCAACAUGAUACACAUUGGUUUCAAAACGGCAUAGUGUGGAUGAAGCCACCAUUUCCUCAAUCCGCAGAAGAAUUGGAUCUCUGCAAUCUCCAAAGCAACAAUGGCAGAAUACGACGUGUUCUGUGUGAUAAGAAGCCUGAGCGAGCUGCUGGUCUACAAAGCAAGGCAGAUCCCGGAGCUCCGCGACCGAAUCAAAGUGAUCCAGAUGAAGUCCGGCAAUUGCAAUCCAUCCUAGAGAUCGCCGACGCUAGUUAAGAAGUAGACGAAGGGAUCCGCAACUGGAUCGUCGAGACCAGAGAAGUCACCUACGACAUCGAAGAUCUCCUCCUCGUAGUCCUCUCCUUCCUCCUCCUCCAGUCGCAGAAAAUACAUUUUGUUCAGAGAAGCCACGAGCCUCCACAGUCUGGAGUUGAAAAUCCAGCUCAUCGAAGCUAAGGUUUCCGCUCUGGAAUCAGAUCUGCCCGUCAUGAAUAUUAGACCGCGGCAGAGAGAAAGCCCUAACCCGAUCGCAUGGAGACGGCAGCAGGAGAGAAGAACCUACUCUCAUUUCAUGGAGGAGGAUUUGGUAGGGUUAGACGACCACAACGAGCAAUUAGUUUCCUAGUUGGUGAACAAAGAUUCUAAUCAGGUCGUUUCCAUCACAAGAUUGGGAGGUAUAGACAAAACCACCCGCACAAAGUGAAUUUACCACCACGACGACGACGUCCGAGGGCAUUUCCACGCCUUCGCGUGGGUGUGUCUGUUGCAGCACGGGCAGUCGGACGAUGUGCUGUAGAGGAUCCUCAAUAAGCUUGAAAAUUACGUUUUUUUUUUGUUAGGGUUAGAAGACAAAUAUAUCAAGACGACACUGUUGAUUUUUUUUUUGUUUAUUGUUUUUUUUUUAAUAAUCCAUGUACUCAAACUCAGACGUUCGACGUCAAUUCCCGAAUGCUGGAAAAUUUUUAUGAGACACAAUUAAAAAAAUAUUGAUAGGUUGGAUUUUAA